UUACAUUAAAUUACCUGACCCCUUUAUCUUACCACUCAAAUCAUAGUACUGAAAAGGAAAUUAUAAUAAAUUAAAGUAAGCUUAAACCUGUACCUUGUGCAUUAUGGAUCUACAAGAUUUAAAAUAAUUUUUAAUUACCCGAAUUCUUAUGAGCUGUACAUUUAUUGUUUAGAACCCAAAAAUUAAUGUUUCAUUAUUAUUUUUAAAUAAAUUUAUAGAGGCUACAUACCUAACGUAUAAGAAUAUAUCUGGUCUCUCUCUAACAUUAUUUAUUAAACCUUAUAUUAUAUAAGUUUAAACUAUAGAAGAUAAUCUCUAUAGUCCUUCCAUUAAUAUAAAAAAUUAUUUAUAAUAGGCUUAAUAUCAGCCAUUUCAAUAUAACUUUAUCGUUUACCAUAAAAUAUAAAUAAAUAAAUAAGGUACAUAUAGAUAGAUUAUAAUUAUAACCAAAUUAAUUAAAAAAUUAUGUAGAUAUUAGUAUUAAUUAACUAUUUAUAAAGGAACUCGGCAACAUUUAUUUCGACUGUUUAACAAAAACAUUUCUUUUAGAAAAAUUAUUAAAAGUAGUCCCUGCCCAAUGAAAUUUUAAUGGCCGCGGUACCCUAACCGUGCAAAGGUAGCAUAAUAAAUUGCCUAUUAAUUGUAGGCUAGCAUGAAUGGGUUAACGAAAUAAAAUCUGUCUCCAUAAAUACAAUAAAAAUUAUCCUUUAAGUGAAGAGACUUAAAUAAAUUAGGGGGACAAGAAGACCCUACAGAGCUUAAUUAUAAAAUUAAAUUAAUCUUUUUUAUAAUUUGGUUGGGGCGACCUAGGAACCACUAAACAUCCUUUAUUAAUAAGAAUAAAUCCUCAAAAUAAGAUCCUAAUAAGAUAAAAUGUAUAGCUACCUUAGGGAUAACAGGCUAAUUUAUUUAAAGAGCCCUUAUCUACAAAUAAGUUUGGCACCUCGAUGUUGGCUUAGGAAAACAUUUUAACGCAAAAGUUAAAAAUGUUAGUUUGUUCAACUAUUAAACUCCUACAUGAGCUGAGUUCAGACCGACGAAAGUCAGGUUAGAUUCUAUCUCCUAUAAUAAAAUUAUUUAUAGUACGAAAGGACCUAAAUAAACUUAAUUUAAGAAUCACAAUAUUUAAUU
rnacentral:rRNA from 1 species